rnacentral:rRNA from 1 species
CGCCUGUUUACCAGAAACAUCGCCUCUUGUAACCUACAAAUAAGAGGUCCCGCCUGCCCUGUGACUAUGGGUUUAACGGCCGCGGUAUUUUGACCGUGCAAAGGUAGCGCAAUCACUUGUCCUUUAAAUGAGGACCUGUAUGAAAGGCAUCACGAGGGCUUAGCUGUCUCCUUUUUCAAGUCGAUGAAGUUGAUCCCCCCGUGCAGAAGCGGGGAUUAGAACAUAAGACGAGAAGACCCUAUGGAGCUUUAGAUACAAGACAGAUCAUGUUAAGCACCUUAAAUAAAAAAGCAAACUAAGUGGAACCUGUCUUAAUGUCUUUGGUUGGGGCGACCGCGGGGCAACAAAAAGCCCCCAUGAGGAAUAAAAGUAUUCUUUCAAAAACAAGAGCCACAGCUCUAAUGAACAGAACAUCUGACCUACCAGAUCCGGCAUAGCCGAUCAACGAACCGAGUUACCCUAGGGAUAACAGCGCAAUCCCCUUUUAGAGCCCCUAUCGACAAGGGGGUUUACGACCUCGAUGUUGGAUCAGGACAUCCUAAUGGUGUAGCCGCUAUUAAGGGUUCGUUUGUUCAACGAUUAAAGUCCUACGUGAUCUGAGUUCAGACCGG